rnacentral:sRNA from 1 species
CUGAAAGCAUCGCAGUCCGCAGCCGCCGACGCGC